rnacentral:tRNA from 1 species
GCCCUUGUAGCUCAGUCGGUAGAGUGCAUCCUUGGUAAGGAUGAGGUCUCCGGUUCAAUCCCGGACAAGGGCU